rnacentral:rRNA from 1 species
AAUAUUGGACAAUGGGGGCAACCCUGAUCCAGCCAUGCCGCGUGUGUGAAGAAGGUCUUCGGAUAGAAAAGCACUUUAAUUUGGGAGGAAGGGAGUCAAGCUAAUACCUUGAUGUUUUGACGUUACCAACAGAAUAAGCACUGGAUAACUCGGUGCCAGCCACCGCGGUAAUACAGAGGUGGCUAGAGUUGAUUGUAAUUACUGGGCGUAAAGCGCGCGUAGUUGGUUCAGUAAUAAGGGUGUUAAAUCCCCGGGCUGAACCUGGGCACUGCUUUCAUAACUGCUGAGCUAGAGUACGGUAGAGGGUAGUGGAAUUUCCUGUGUAGCGGUGAAAUGCGUAGAUAUAGGAAGGAACACCAGUGGCGAAGGCGACUACCUGGACUGAUACUGACACUGAGGUGCGAAAGCGUGGGGAGCAAACAG